GACAGGUACAGUGGCACGUGCUUGUAGUCAGCUACUCAGGAGGCUGAGGCGGGAGGAUCACUUGAGCCCAGGAGUCCUGGGCUGUAGUGCCCUAUGCUGAUAGGGUGUUCACACUGAGUUCACAUUAAUAUGGUGACCUCCCGGGAGUGAGGGAUCACCAGGCUGCCUAAGGAGGGGUUAACCUGCCCAGGUCAGAAGCAGAACAAGUGAAAACUCCCAUAUUGAUCAGUAGUGGGAUCAUGCCUGUGAAUCACCACUGCACUCCAGCCUGGGCAACAUAGCAAGACCCCAUUUCU
rnacentral:SRP_RNA from 1 species